UAGUAUUGUUUUUCCCAGAUAUUUUAGG
rnacentral:piRNA from 1 species